UAGCUCCAAUCCGGACAUCUUGUGGUUAUGUUAACUCAUGUGGUUAUGAUCAAAGAAGUGACUAUUGAUUCUCUCUACCAAAGAAGCGACUACAAUUGCAAGGAUAAUUUUUCUCUUCUGGUUGCUGAAGUGUUGUGUGGAGUCAUUGUUGGAGGUAGCCCUCUCUCAAUACUUUUAUCCCUUUCUUGCAACAAAAGGUGUAUAUAUGUAAAUGGGCAAGAUUCGAAUAGGUUUGAUAUGGGUUUAGGAUAUGUCGGGUUAUUGUGGUGUGAGCGUUUAUCAUCUAUCAGGA
rnacentral:lncRNA from 1 species